rnacentral:rRNA from 1 species
GGACCCGCACAAGCGGUGGAGCAUGUGGUUUAAUUCGAUGCAACGCGAAAAACCUUACCUACUCUUGGACAUACUUGGGAGCUCUUGUAAUGAGAGUGUGCCUUAUGGAACCAAGAUACAGGUGCUGCAUGGCUGUCGUCAGCUCGUGUCGUGAGAUGUUCCGUUAAGUCGGAUUAACGAGCGCAACCCUUACCCUUAUUUGCCAGCGAUUCGGUCGGGAACUAUAAGGGACUGCCGGUGAUAAACCGGAGGAAGGUGAGGACGACGUCAAGUCAUCAUGGCCCUUACGAGUAGGGCUACACACGUGCUACAAUGGGAAAUACGACGGACGCUAAAGCCGGCAGAGGUGGUGCUAA